GACGAACGCUGGCGGCGUGCUUAACACAUGCAAGUCGAACGGGAGUAUUGAAGAAGCUUGCUUUAGAGAUACUUUAGUGGCGGACGGGUGAGUAACGCGUGAGGAGCUGUCCGAUGCAGGGGGACAACAGUUGGAAACGACUGCUAAUACCCCAUAAGCCGAGAGGUAAAAGGAUUUAUCCGGCAAUGGAGGUACUCGCGUCCUAUCAGCUAGUAGGUGAGGUAACGGCUCACCUAGGCGAAGACGGGUAGCCGGCCUGAGAGGGCGAACGGCCACACUGGAACUGAGAUACGGUCCAGACUCCUACGGGAGGCAGCAGUGGGGAAUAUUGGGCAAUGGGGGGAACCCUGACCCAGCGACGCCGCGUGGGUGAAGAAAUCCUUCGGGAUGUAAAGCCCUGUUGUAUGGGAAGGGCGGAAGACGGUACCAUACGAGGAAGCCCCGGCAAACUACGUGCCAGCAGCCGCAGUAA
rnacentral:rRNA from 1 species